rnacentral:lncRNA from 1 species
GACAUUUGGAGAUAUUUUCGGAUAAGCAUUAGAUCGCUUAUCAUACUACAUUGCAUAUAAAAAUAAACCAAGUUUAUCAACUCGGCAAUAUAUAUUGAAACCGCGUCAAUUUUCGAGGUUCCUAUCCUUGAUUUAGAUGUGGGACUACCAACAUCAUAAAAUUAUACCAAUAUACACAUUGCAACAUAAUAAAAGAGCUUCCUCAUCAGCUAGAUACUGGAGACUGAUUAAUUUCAUCAUAAAGAAACCCUUCUGCAUU